GUUGGCUUAGAAGCAGCCAUCAUUUAAAGAAAGCGUAAUAGCUCACUGGUCGAGUCGGCCUGCGCGGAAGAUGUAACGGGGCUAAACCAUGCACCGAAGCUGCGGCAGCGACACUAUGUGUUGUUGGGUAGGGGAGCGUUCUGUAAGCCUGUGAAGGUGUGCUGUGAGGCAUGCUGGAGGUAUCAGAAGUGCGAAUGCUGACAUAAGUAACGAUAAAGCGGGUGAAAAGCCCGCUCGCCGGAAGACCAAGGGUUCCUGUCCAACGUUAAUCGGGGCAGGGUGAGUCGACCCCUAAGGCGAGGCCGAAAGGCGUAGUCGAUGGGAAACAGGUUAAUAUUCCUGUACUUGGUGUUACUGCGAAGGGGGGACGGAGAAGGCUAUGUUGGCCGGGCGACGGUUGUCCCGGUUUAAGCGUGUAGGCUGGUUUUCCAGGCAAAUCCGGAAAAUCAAGGCUGAGGCGUGAUGACGAGGCACUACGGUGCUGAAGCAACAAAUGCCCUGCUUCCAGGAAAAGCCUCUAAGCAUCAGGUAACAUUAAAUCGUACCCCAAACCGACACAGGUGGUCAGGUAGAGAAUACCAAGGCGCUUGAGAGAACUCGGGUGAAGGAACUAGGCAAAAUGGUGCCGUAACUUCGGGAGAAGGCACGCUGAUAUGUAGGUGAAGUCCCUCGCGGAUGGAGCUGAAAUCAGUCGAAGAUACCAGCUGGCUGCAACUGUUUAUUAAAAACACAGCACUGUGCAAACACGAAAGUGGACGUAUACGGUGUGACGCCUGCCCGGUGCCGGAAGGUUAAUUGAUGGGGUUAGCGGUAACGCGAAGCUCUUGAUCGAAGCCCCGGUAAACGGCGGCCGUAACUAUAACGGUCCUAAGGUAGCGAAAUUCCUUGUCGGGUAAGUUCCGACCUGCACGAAUGGCGUAAUGAUGGCCAGGCUGUCUCCACCCGAGACUCAGUGAAAUUGAACUCGCUGUGAAGAUGCAGUGUACCCGCGGCAAGACGGAAAGACCCCGUGAACCUUUACUAUAGCUUGACACUGAACAUUGAGCCUUGAUGUGUAGGAUAGGUGGGAGGCUUUGAAGUGUGGACGCCAGUCUGCAUGGAGCCGACCUUGAAAUACCACCCUUUAAUGUUUGAUGUUCUAACGUUGACCCGUAAUCCGGGUUGCGGACAGUGUCUGGUGGGUAGUUUGACUGGGGCGGUCUCCUCCUAAAGAGUAACGGAGGAGCACGAAGGUUGGCUAAUCCUGGUCGGACAUCAGGAGGUUAGUGCAAUGGCAUAAGCCAGCUUGACUGCGAGCGUGACGGCGCGAGCAGGUGCGAAAGCAGGUCAUAGUGAUCCGGUGGUUCUGAAUGGAAGGGCCAUCGCUCAACGGAUAAAAGGUACUCCGGGGAUAACAGGCUGAUACCGCCCAAGAGUUCAUAUCGACGGCGGUGUUUGGCACCUCGAUGUCGGCUCAUCACAUCCUGGGGCUGAAGUAGGUCCCAAGGGUAUGGCUGUUCGCCAUUUAAAGUGGUACGCGAGCUGGGUUUAGAACGUCGUGAGACAGUUCGGUCCCUAUCUGCCGUGGGCGCUGGAGAACUGAGGGGGGCUGCUCCUAGUACGAGAGGACCGGAGUGGACGCAUCACUGGUGUUCGGGUUGUCAUGCCAAUGGCACUGCCCGGUAGCUAAAUGCGGAAGAGAUAAGUGCUGAAAGCAUCUAAGCACGAAACUUGCC
rnacentral:rRNA from 1 species